rnacentral:hammerhead_ribozyme from 33 species
AAAGGAUCUUCCAUUGAGAAUGGAACUGAUGAGUCCAAAUGAUUGUAAUGAACAGGACGAAAUUCUUA